UAUGAUGUGAUGUAAUUUUAGAGGUGGAAAAGCGAAAAGAUGGUGGCUAUCCCGAAAGGUGGUGGUGCUUAUGUAUGUGAGCGCUGAAAUCUUUAGAAAGGAGAAGCCUUUUGCAGAUUGCAGAAGUUAUUGCUUACUUGGUAAUUUUAGCACCUUGUUUGACGGCUCUUUU
rnacentral:sRNA from 1 species